rnacentral:misc_RNA from 1 species
CCGAGAGAGGGCGCCUCGCGCGCCCGACCUCCCAACCCUUUGUUUGACCAUCUCUGUUGCCUCGGGGGACGACCCGGUCGCCCCCGGCGGACCAACCAACCAAACUCUGCAUCCAUGCGUCGGAGUACGAAAGCAAAUCAAUCA